UGAGUACGAGAUGCUACGGCAUCGAAGCAGUCUAUGUCAUACUUCCAAGAAAAGCUUGCACUGUCAUAAACAAAGAAUGCCUGUACCAUAACCGACACAGGUGGGUAGGUAGAGUAUACUAAGGGGCGCGAGAUAACUCUCUCUAAGGAACUCGGCAAAAUGACUCCGUAACUUCGGGAGAAGGAGUGCCUUAUUUAUAAGGUUGCAAUAACAAGAUCCAAGCAACUGUUUACCAAAAACACAGGUCUCCGCGAAGUCGUAAGACGAUGUAUGGGGGCUGACGCCUGCCCAGUGCCAGAAGGUUAAAGAAGUUGGUUAGCACUCGCGAAGCUGAUAACUGAAGCCCUGGUGAACGGCGGCCGUAACGAUAACGGUCCUAAGGUAGCGAAAUUCCUUGUCGGGUAAGUUCCGACCCGCACGAAAGGCGUAAUGAUUUGGAUACUGUCUCGGAGAGGGACUCGGUGAAAUAGACUUGUCUGUGAAGAUGCGGACUACCUGCACCUGGACAGAAAGACCCUAUGAAGCUUUACUGUAGCUUGGUAUUGGGUUCUGAUGCUGUGUGUAUAGGAUAGUUGGGAGACUAUGAUUGUAGGCCGCCAGGUUUACAUGAGUCGUUGGUGGAAUACCAACCACGCAGUAUUGGGAUUCUAAUCUGAGGUUUGUAACCUUGGAGACAGUGCUAGGUGGGCAGUUUGACUGGGGCGGUCGCCUCCGAAAGAGUAACGGAGGCGUUCAAAGGUGCCCUCAGGUUGGAUGGAAAUCAACCGAAGAGUGCAAAGGCAUAAGGGAGCUUGACUGCAAGACUGACAGGUCGAGCAGGUGCGAAAGCAGGACUUAGUGAUCCGGCGAUACCGAAUGGAAGGGUCGUCGCUCAACGGAUAAAAGCUACUCUGGGGAUAACAGGCUGAUUUUGCCCGAGAGUCCAUAUCGACGGCAAAGUUUGGCACCUCGAUGUCGGCUCAUCGCAUCCUGGGGCUGGAGAAGGUCCCAAGGGUUGGGCUGUUCGCCCAUUAAAGCGGUACGUGAGCUGGGUUCAGAACGUCGUGAGACAGUUCGGUCCCUAUCCGCUGCAGGCGCUAGAGUAUUGAGAAGAUCUGCCCUUAGUACGGGAGGACCGGGGUGGACAAACCUCUGAUGUACCAGUUGUCACGCCAGUGGCAUAGCUGGGUAGUCACGUUUGGAAUGGAUAACCGCUGAAAGCAUCUAAGUGGGAAACCAACUUCAAGAUAAGUACUCUGCAACCUUGAGUUGAUAAGUCACCUUCGAGAACAGGAGGUUGAUAGGCUGGGGGUGUAAGGAAUGUAAGUUCUUUAGCUGACCAGUACUAAUUAGACGA
rnacentral:rRNA from 1 species